UGUCCCAUAUAAAGUACAAAGUACAUAAGAUAGGAAUAUUUGUUUUUUUAAAAAUUAGGAAGGGGGACAUGUGUCAACUUUAAGUGGUUUUCUCAUUCUCAUUCUAGCAAUUCUAUAUAUAUAUGGAUCCUUUUCUUCUGACUUCUCCAAGUAAGUUGGCUUUAAAAAAAAAAAUUAAUUCACGUUGAUCAAAGAUAUGAGCUUGCUUUGUUGAUCUAUACUUGAGUUUCUGAUCUCUGGCACAAAGACAAAAUUGUAUUUCAGAAAACAAUAAAAUCCAUAGAUGCCAUUAGCUCUCAGAUUCUCAAUUACAAUGACUCAACCCCAAAUGCCAUUGUGUAUCAUACAGAAUAUCUACGCACUUUCAUCUGAGCAUGCUGUCUUGAUCGAGAAUGAAUGGACCUGAGGAUUGAGUAAUUCAAGGACUUUCAGUAAGUCAAAGUUCCUUUUUUAUGGAUGCAGUAAGGAAGUCAAGAUCGGAUGUGAAAUCUGGAAGCUUUCAAGCUACUACAAAUACUGCAGGGAAGUUUUUGAGGAGAGACUGAGGGUUGCCCUGUAAUCAAUAUCCUUCAAAAGUCUUCUAGUUAAGGUAGCCAUCGCGUACAGAAUCACAAUUUGGGGCUGGUGUUAUGUUCAGAUUGGCAACUGUUAGAACUGUGUCUGCUGUUCGUGGAAACAUUGCUUCCCGGCUUCCUUAUUGCAUGAGGUCCUCUUUGGGUUUAUGAUCUGGAUUCUGGAAAGCUGGAGUGUAGAGGACCAAGCCUGCAACUAUAAUGCUUAUAUGAGGCCCAUUUGUAAGCUUGAAGAUGACACAGUCCAUAACAGGUGUGAGGACACCGGACACAGCAUUAAUGGAAUAUAUCUUUGUUUAAAAUUGAGGUUGUUUCACCUGAGCCGUAAUGUGCAAAUACACACACAUUUAAAUUAACUUUGUUUAAUUUGUGUUGAAAUGCUUAUCUUUGUCAGGAGUGUCGAAUGUUGACACAAGUACGAUAGACAAAUUAAAGAAUUGAAGUAACAUGAAUUGUGAACGUGACUUAAAGCUGAUUGAAAAAUUUCUUACGAAGUAAUAU